GUUUCUGUAGUUGAAUUACAACGAUGGUUUUUCAGACCAUAGGUUUUGGAUAGUACCCAAGCAGGAAUU